ACACAAAAACGCAGUAAAAAGCAGAGGCUCUGAUCCAGCUUUGCUGCCUGGAAAAAGAAUGACUGUCAUAGACAACAAAGUUCUGGAUCUCGUCGACAAGGCAGAAUUCCACUCUCAACUCUGCAAAGAUUAGACUUUACAUUUAGUCUGCCAUUACCCUCUGACCUCAGUGAAAAGGAUGAAGGUGACCAGGUGAGCAAAGCACUGGCCACACUUUCAGUGAGCAGUGCUACCAUGUGUGUGAUUCUAACUGUGUGCAAUACACAUUGACAUUUAUUUCUAACAGAGGAAAGGGAUUCCCAUGGAACACGAUUUGAGAGGAAAUAUUAAACAAAAAGAAUUUUGAAGAUCCAUUAAUUUGAACAUUUUUAUCUUAAGUAUAAAUGUAGAUUUAUAAUUUGAUAAAAGUAAAAACACUUGUGAGUUUAUACUCCAGGUAUUCUCAUUCUUCAACCAAAGCAUGGCCACGGUUUUGAAUGGGCUGCUGCAUCCUCUGCCAGGGUGUGAUGCAGCAUCUGGAUUCUACUUGCUUCCGUGGUGAUUGGCAGAACCUCGCCGUUUCUUCCGGAAGAAAUUGCCAUUGCUGAUUCGGCAUGAAAUCACAUCCAAGAACAAUCCAGGGAACAGAAUCCAUUUGAGAUAAAGAAGACACCUUUCAUAUCAGUAACUGGAAGACAGUCAAGGAAACCUCUCUGAGAUCCUGCAUGGAGCCCCACAUACAGCUUCCUGUUCCACUGGAAUCAGAGGCAGUUGGGGGAAAGUCUCAAAUCAUCACAUGGAGAAACAACCUCUACUACUUUUAAAUUCUUCUGAAGUGACUAACUUGAUGGUUGGAUAUGUGCUUCACACAUGUUCAGCAUUACAGUAGAGUAAUAAAUAACUAUGUUGUAAAGAUUUCCAAGGA
rnacentral:lncRNA from 1 species